rnacentral:rRNA from 2 species
UACAGAGGGUGCAAGCGUUAAUCGGAAUUACUGGGCGUAAAGCGUGCGUAGUCGGUUAUUUAAGUCGGAUGUGAAAUCCCCGGGCUCAACCUGGGAAUUGCAUUCGAUACUGGAUAGCUAGAGUUCGGCAGAGGGAAGUGGAAUUUCGGGUGUAGCGGUGAAAUGCGUAGAUAUCCGAAGGAACAUCAGUGGCGAAAGCGACUUCCUGGACCAGAACUGACGAUCAGGCACGAAAGCGUGGGGAGCAAACAGG